GUCAACAACCCCUCUCUCAACGAAAGAUACUUGUCGGCAACUACAAAUCAGGUUGACCAGCGUAAGUUGCGGAGCAGUGGCAAUGCAAACGUGAGUGAUAGGCAAGACAAGACCCACUCCAGGGUGCUUCCUUAGUCCCGGACCCUGGA
rnacentral:sRNA from 1 species